UGGAAGGAAUGGGCAACGGUAGGUCAGUAUGCCCCGAAUCUCCCGGGCUACACGCGGGCUACAAUGGUUGGUACAAUGGGCAUCUACCCCGAAAGGGGAAGGAAAUCUCUUAAAGCCAAUCGUAGUUCGGAUUGAGGGCUGCAACUCGCCCUCAUGAAGCUGGAAUCCGUAGUAAUCGCGUUUCAACAGAACGCGGUGAAUACGUCCCUGCUCCUU
rnacentral:rRNA from 1 species